GACGAACGCUGGCGGCGUGCUUAACACAUGCAAGUCGAACGGAGUGGCGACCGGGUGAGUAACACGUGGGUGAUCUGCCUUGCACUUCGGGAUAAGCUUGGGAAACUGGGUCUAAUACCGGAUAGUGCAAGAUGAGCUCUCGGCCUAUCAGCUUGUUGGUGGGGUAAUGGCCUACCAAGGCGUCGACGGGUAGACGGCCUGAGAGGGUGUACGGCCACAUUGGGACUGAGGUACGGCGCAGAAGGCUACGGGAGGCAGCAGUGGGGAAUAUUGCACAAUGGGCGGGAGUCUGAUGCAGCGACGCAGCGUGGGGGAUGAACGCCUUCUGGUUGUAAACUCCUUUCGAAAGGAACGCGGUACCUGGAUAGGAAGCACCGGCUAACUACGUGCCAGCAGCCGCGGUAAUAC
rnacentral:rRNA from 1 species